CAGAAGGGGAACCAAUCGGCAGUCGCCGCUCCUGAGCCCCAUCCGGCGCGCCGCGGAUAAGCCUAGUUCUUUGCCGUGGCCGCCCCGAGCCCCACCCGUGCACCGGGCUCCAGAGCCCUGAAGCCAUCGACACCCCCAGCGCUGCCCAGUCCCCGCCAGGGCGCGGGGAAGGCCCCCACUCACCGAACUGGAGCACCAGGCAGACCACGCCGAGGACCACCGCGGCCCAGCCACACGCACUCCCUGCGGUCAUGGCGCGUUCGGCUGGCCUCUAAGGCCCUACUGCGCUGAGCGCACCCUAGUAAUUUCGCUAGCAGCCCCGCCCCGGCCUCCCCGCCGUACCAGCCCCGCCCGCUCUGGCCCCGCCUCGUCUCGCGUCCCCUGCUUCCUGUCCACCCUGUUCCCAGAGUUUUUCUGCUGCCUCCCGUCUGCUCGGUGCAGUCCUUCCAUCAAAGUGGCUUGCGUUUUAAAAGCCAGGCUUCUCUUCGUUCCCCCCGCUGCUCCAGCACUUUUCCUGGACGUCUGGGACGCGAUGGAGGCAACUUUGUAACUGGGGGAAGGGGAAGCUGUCGAGCCCCUCCCCCACCCCGUAAAGCUGCGUCCCACUCGGCGGGCCCGUACGGGGA